GGAGGCCACGUGACAGCAGUGGGCCGGCCCUCCGGCUGAGCCCUGAUCUCUAUGGUUUCCGCGGCUCGCUAGAAGGAGUGUGGUCCACUGGAGGACUCCCUACAUUCUUCCUCCAUUACCUCACUGCCUCCGGUGGCUGCUGGGAUACCGGAGGACUCGGGUCCCGGCUCGACUCAGUCUUCCAGCCGCCCGGGGAACACCUCUAGUUCUUCCCGGCCUCCUUCGCCCCGCCCCGUCCGCGCAGCGCGUCCGGCCCGCCCGCAGGCCAGCUUCUCUCGGGAGCCCCCACCCAGGCGCAUGGCUCCAUGAAGCAAGAGGAGGAGGCAGAGCGCGAGAGGUCCCGUCCGCCCCAGCCGCGUCUGGGCCAGGAGAAAAGGAAGCAGGCUCGCUCGCUGUAAUGUUUGGUGGUCUCCGGCGCCGCCUGGCGGCCCCCACCCACCGUCCCGCCGCCCCGCCGCCCCCUCCCCCGCCCGGCGUCUGGAUUGCACCCCCGCGGCUCGGCCCAAGCUGCUCUACCCGUCGCUCCAUCGUCUCCCCAACUCCCCAGCGCCCCGGACCCUCUUUCCUCAUACCCUCGUUUCUCACCUUUCACCCUGUCCCUCGGCCCGCUUUUCCCGUCCCCGCUCUGUCCUGUCGUUUUCUUAACACUCUUCACAGGCGCACUUCCUCCUCCUCCUCCUCUUCUCUUUUUCCCACCCCUACCCUUGGGCCCUCCUUCCUUAACCUCCGCUGGCCCCCCAUUCCAUGAUCCGUCCACCUGACACGCUGGGUUUCAUGCCUCUCUUUCCCAGGCUGUGGGUUGUGCCCUUCACUCCUUGCCCUCCUCCAUUCCCUGUCCUGAUCUGA
rnacentral:lncRNA from 1 species